UANUAUNAACNACUUUUAUACUGUGAAACUGCGAAUGGCUCAUUAAAUCAGUUAUAGUUUAUUUGAUAGUAUCUUUACUACUUGGAUAACCGUGGUAAUUCUAGAGCUAAUACAUGCUAAAAAUCCUGACUCUUGGAAGGGAUGUAUUUAUUANAUAAAAAACCAACGCGGUUUACCCCGCUUGUUUGGUGAUUCAUAAUAACUUUUCGAAUCNCAUGGCCGUGUGCCGGCGAUGUUUCAUUCAAAUUUCUGCCCUAUCAACUUUCGAUGGUANGAUAGAGGCCUACCAUGGUUUUU
rnacentral:rRNA from 1 species